rnacentral:lncRNA from 7 species
GUGGAAGUUGUAUUAAGGCUGUCUGCUUAUGUCACUAAUGCUGAAGCUUGAUGUGCUGUUUAGAGACUCUCAAUUUUACUUGCUACUCUGCUUUUGAAGAACUGGCUGGUAGAGCCCUGGAAUUGGGAAUUAAUAUUUCAAGAUAAAUAUCAUUCCAACUCCAGAUGCAAGCCAGUUUGCAAGCAAAUUUGAUGUUAAAUGGGAUUGUGCACUGCAAAACAGCCUGUGAAACGUCUGUGGUUAUAAAAGCAAGGUGCUUCAUUUCAUCUGAAGGAAUUGGAAGAAAAUGGAAAUUCUGAAGAGUGGCGCACUGAAUGUUCUCCAGCUCACCUCUGCAGUUGUGCCCGACUGAGCAGUGCCAGCAAAUAGGGGAGUGCGGUGCCAGACUCAUACAGAGUGGUACGGGGUCAAGGCAAGGCUUUUUGCUGGGAACAGGGUGUGUGCGGGCUGAAAAGCACUGAGGAGGAACUGAGGCCAUGGCUGAUCCUGGGGGGUGCGCAGAUCAGCUCUGCAGGCGAGGUUAGUGCCUUUGCUCCUCUGUCAUCACCAGUCCCUGAGAGCAAUCACCACCCACCAACAGUUCCUCAAGAUAAGACUGAGCCAGCUGGGAGAAGAAAUCCUUUGAUAUUUCCCUGCCUCGCUGACUGCGUUUUUCACAGCUCACAUCUCAGAGAGGACCAGCAGAGAUGACUGGGCACGUAAGAAUAACACUGGGCUGGUAUGCAAGGAAGGUGCUAAUCUUCUGCCAUGUGUGUAGGGCCUGGGCAGAAUGAGGCAGAGCGCAGUGCUGGAGUCUCCCUGAUCCUCCCAUGGAUAUCAGCAGCUGCCACACCUGGAGUCUGCAGCAAAGCUCCUUCCUCCAGAGGCCAAGAGCUGAGCCUACUGUUUCCAGCAAGGUAAUCACGUUCCCCAGGCAAUAACAAGCACUUCCUAAGAGCAGCUGCUUAAGAUGGCUCAGAAGCGAUGAGAAGGACGUGGUUAAAACUUUGCUUCAUGAAUCUGGUUACUGCACGUGGUGGGGAAGAGCUACUUUUUUGGACAAAAUGCCAGUCAGAUGCUCGGUAUUUUUUGUGAUUCAUGUUUGUGUUCUAAACCUCAUCUCCUUGUGCAAUACUUGUUAUUUCUGCAAAAGGAUACGAUAGGGAAAUUGUGCUUCGUCAGGGAGAGCCGUAUUUUUAGGCUAUUUAAAAUGCAGAGGAUACAUCUUAAGGCCCUGUAAGCGCAAUUACAUGAGAAACCAAGCAGCCUCGGGUUUGCACUGCAGUUAGGUGCAACGCCGAUUCCUUCUGCACUCAGAGGUGCUGGGAACUAAAGGAGCACAUCUGAGGAGGGUGCACUGAGCACAGUGCAGCAAAGGACUUGUUUUCGCAUCCUGCUAACGGCUGGCCCUGCUACAAACUGGUCUGCUGUUGCCAUCUACUGGAUAAAUCCUACUGCAUUCGAAUUUGACAGUGAAGGGAGCGUUCUUAUUAAGAAAAUAUUUGUGUGGGUUUUUUUGUGUGUUUUUGCAGUCCACUUCUGUAGGCUCAUAUCUAACUUCCUUCUCUCUUGCUUUCAUUUGCAGUAGGAGUCUUAAAAAUUAAUAUCCAUUUCUUAAGAAUCCUGUGGCUAAUCAUUCUGUAAAAUGUAAGAGCGCAUAAUAUUUUGGGACAGGUAAAAUCUCAUGCUUUUUAAACUCCAGCCUAAAGGCAGACAGAUUGCUGGUUGCCAUAGGCAUCCCUAGCACCAUGUCAUCAGGUCACAAUCUAAGCUACAAGGUGUGAUUCCCAUGGAGUUAAAUCCGGUGCUGGUGGCUGAUCAUUGUAUGGAUCUGAGCAAGUGCUAACAGUGGCAGAAAGGUUUUAGAAAACAUCUUUGCUGUUGACAGGGUUUUAAAACCUCAUGCUCAAAGUAGAAGUCAAUGGGGUGUGAAUCCACCCACACCAAAGCUGAGAAUAUCAGGACCUGUGACUGCUCAGUCUCUAAGCUCCACUUACGCUGUCUAUAAACAGUCCUGUAACAUGCCUUUGAACACCAGAACAAGGGAUAUUUAAGACCCUGGCUGGAGGUGCUGUGGGCUUUUUCAGGUAGCACAGGGAAUUAUCAUUGCCACUUCACCAGGUGGAGGGGGUUUAAAGGCAAGACAUGUUAGCCCAUGCUUAGAUAGGUAAUUGGCUUCUGGUUGGCUUGGUAUGGGGACAGAUGCAACUCAUAUCUUCUACAAAGCUAUUACUUAAACAUCCUCUGUUAACCUGUCUGUUCAGCUUCACUGGCAGAGCUAAACAUCUUUAUUUAUGCUGAUCUAUUGAUUGCAAGCUAGCAUACAUGGACCUCGAGCAUCUACUGUGGCUUGUACGUCUUCUUGCAUAAAACAACAGACUUGG